AGGCUUAAUUAAAUCAGGCUGCUCAGGGAUUCAUCUAGUUGAUUCUCAACACUUCUGCACAAACUUAGCAGCUCUGCUAAGAGGCAGAAUUUUGAGAUUCAGAUUUAACACAGCUGCGGAGAAACCCGACUGAUUUGUGAUCUAAGCUGGCAUCUCUAGAUGUGGUUUGACCUCCGUGGUUGUCCCACUGAAAGCUUCUGUGUUUUGUGUAGCAUGAGCAUGUUAAUUGAGCCUGCUGAAGAUGAGCAGCCAGUUUAACACCAGAGCAGGCACUGCCUGUGCCUGCUGCAUUCACACUCAGGCUGUGGUACCUAUGUGGCCCAGAGAACUCUGCUGACACAAUGGACCUGGAAAAGAUGCAUCAGUAAAGCCUGCUGAUUGGAACUGAACCCUACUUACAUGUCAGGUCUUUGCCUAUCCCUUCAUAUGCAUUUCCUGAGUUCACAAAGAAGAUUUUGGUGUGACUGGACACCUCACAAAGAUGGGGUCUGUGUGCACAGGCAUGAAUCAGGCUUGUACAAUGUGAUGCCUUCUACAGUGAUCUUCUACUAAUUACCAGAACACUGUAAAACUGCUGCUAGAUUUAUUUUCUCCUUUUAGUAGUAAUGUGUAAUCUAUCCCAAUCUAAGGCUGUUUCUUUAAGUCUUGAAAAAACCAUAGACAUCUGAGAUAAGUUUCAAAGUCUUUCAGAUACAUUUCUAAAUUUUCCUCAUUUAAUGAGGGAUAGGACUGAUUCCAUCCUGUGCUCUGGAUAGCUAAGCCUUCUCCAGAACUCAGAGACAAGUGUGGUCUGAGGCAGACAGAUGAUUACAAGGAUAUGAAUUCAAGAAAGCUCCAGAGGUACCUGAAUGCUCCAAAUAUAAAGGUCAAGUAACAACAGCAAAGCCGCACAGAAACUCCAGAAAAGACAGAGGUCUUAGUCCAACUCCCAAGCUCAAUCACGACAACUGUAAGACAACAUGACUGCAAAAAACACAUUGUUGCUAAAUAUUUUUCUCUUUAAGAAGUUGUUGUGCUGCUUAAAAAUACUACAUUUUCUUCUGAUUAAACAAAACAUGGAAGUCAGUGAUAACAAGUUUUAAUAUCCAUUCACCCAAGCAGAAGUAGAUGUUACCAGCAAGUAUUCUGUGUUUUGUGAUUUGAGAUGAAUAAUGUGUUGUGGCAUAGAACAUUUGGUGCCUGCAAGAAAUUGUGUCACUUGACCAUACCAAAUACGUUUAACACUUGAAUUUUAAUCAUAUCUUCCAAGCCAAGUUCUAGUGCCAUUAAAGAUACAUUGGAAAAUGUGUUGAGGCCAAUGAAGUUUUCUUUCUGCAUCUACUGGUUGUUGGAUGGGGGUCUGAACCCAUGCAGCAAUACUUUGUACCUCGUGAUACAGCAUUUACUGCAUAUUACAUGUUUGUUAUUGUAAUUGCUUGGCCACCUGAGCUGUUUGGUAAAUAUAUAAACCAGGCUGUGAAUAGCAACAGAUGCAAGAGCAACAAGAAAGAAUGCUCUGGGAAAAUAUGGGCACACAAACUCUAAGGUUUCUAUGUACACAGUGUGAUGCA